GGCUCAGGAGAUGGCAGUGCGCGGGACUCCCAGGCGGCUUGGCAAGCACGCGCACGGCUUACAGUGGACUGCAGUUGGAGUUGCUCAUGUGUGCACUCACCUCUGUGCUCCUCUGCAAGGAACAUGCACGGAAAGCCUGGUUUGUUUUUUGCGUCAUAAAGUCAACUUUUAAAGGACUUGUUGUGAGUUCAUGUCGAAGCACAAGACUGGAUGUGAAGAAGAAGAAGAAGUUUGGAAGUCCAGAAGCAGGCUCAGCUGGAUGAGGAGAUCAUGAGGUUCACGCAGCACACGGCUGUCAUCCUGAUGCUCGUCUUCCUCACGCAUGAGGCGGCCGGCAGAUUUCCUUUGUGCCACUUCUCCUGGGAGAUGAAGAAAGCGAGCCAGGAGUGUCGCUCUGGCCUGCAGCAGCUCACAGCGCCCCCCACAGGAUGUGUCGGCGAGUGGGACAACGCUUCGUGCUGGCGCAGCGCGCUGGUGGGCGAGGUGGUCACCCAGCCCUGCCCCGCUCCCCUCCUGCACCUGUUUGGGAAGAAGGGUAACCUGAGCAGGACGUGCACCCAGCGAGGUUGGUCAGACGUUUAUCCCAUCAUCGCAGCCGCCUGCUCGUCCAACGACACCGACCAACCCAACGAGCUUGUGUUCUACAAAGUGGUGAGGGUUCUGUCCACGCUGGGCCACAGCUUGUCUCUCAUAAGUCUACUCAGCAGCACCGUCAUUAUCGCUCUCUUCAGGAGGCUGCACUGCAUGCGGAACUACAUCCACGUCAACCUGUUUGUGUCCUUCAUGCUGAGGGGCGUGGCCGUGCUCACCAAAGAUCUCCUCCUCUUCUCCGACGAGGAGGAGGACGCGCUCGACUGCAGCGUUCAGCCCUCGCUGGCGGGCUGUAAGAGCAGCAUGGUGUUUCUGAACUACUCGAUCAUGGCCAACUUCUUCUGGCUGCUGGUGGAGGCGCUCUACCUCCACACGCUGUUGCUGGUGGUACACACGCGCUGCGCACGACUCUCCGUCUACGUGCUGAUUGGCUGGGGAAUUCCGUGCAUGUUUACGGUGGCGUGGAUCUUAUGUCGGAUACACCUGGAUGACACCUGGUGCUGGGAGAGGAACAACAACCCCAUCCCCAGUAGAGUGCUGGACUGGCCCAUCAUGGCGUGUGUCGUUGUGAACUUCAUCCUGUUCAUCAGCAUCAUCCGCAUCCUGGUGCAGAAGCUGCGCUGCACUGACGUGGGCGGCAACGAGCAGUCGCAGUACAAGCGUCUGGCCAAGUCCACCCUGCUGCUGAUCCCAUUGUUCGGGAUCAACUACGUGGUCUUCGUCCAUCUGAUGGAACCCACUGAUAAAACCAUGCAGCAAGUCAAGAUCUUCUUUGAACUGGGACUUGGAUCCUUCCAGGGUCUCAUCGUGGCCGUGCUGUACUGUUUCCUCAACUGCGAGGUCCAGUGCGAGCUGAGGAGGAUGCGGAGGAGCUUUUCCCUCAAGCGUUACGCAGCCAGUCGGGAGUUUAGGCCACGCGCCGCCUCGCGAGGCCCCAACGACGCCGAACACUCGGCCCCGUUCCCCAGGAACUCCCGAGCGGCGUCCAUCUUGCAGACAGAGACCUUUCUGCUGUGACCACAACGCCCCUAAAGUGACGCGCGGGACGGAGGCGAGGGGAGAAGGAGGACGAUAACUGCGACGAUGUGGAUGAUGAAGAAGGGGCGGAGCCGGUGGUCGAAGCCCGAGCAGCGGCGGCGGCGGCGGCCUUACUGUGAGGACGCAAAUGGAGUGGAAGAUGAGGAUGAUGAAGAUGAUGAGGGCACGGCGCUUUUCCAUUGUGCACUCGGCACCCGACGACUUCCUCCUUUAUCUCCAUGUUGCUCACCUUCGUGCAGCAUUCUGUGGGCUUCCCUAAUGGAGCACAACGCCACAAGACUUUAGCGUCGUCCUCGGACACAAAUCAAAAGGUCAACUUACCUUGUCCGUGUCCGCACUGGACCAGGACCACCAGAACGGCGGCCGCCAAAAACAUCUUCUGCAGGCUUCCAGAGUUCAUCAUUUGAAUUAACACCACCAGGAGAAAGAAGAAAAGAAUAGAAAAGAGUCAGAAGCUGUCUUGGUUCGUCUCGCUCGGGUGUGAGAAGCCUGUGGAGCGACGACUCUCGGAUGGCCAAAUUUAAGGCGUAAAAAGCAGAAGUGAAGUUUCGUCAUCCCUGGUUUUCUCUUUCCAGUCUCUCUUCUUCUGAAUGGCGCUCGUUUGCUAGGAAUUACUAAAACGGCGGGUAAGCCGGAAGCCGCCUUUUUUUUUUAACAACACGCUGAUGAAGAAAUUAAAGAACGUGAAUGGACACUGUAAGAAAUAGACACUAAAAUAUACAAAUGAAAAGAAAAUUGCUCAUAUACUGUCUUAUUAUAUUUUUUACACAAUUGGUUAAUAAAUUUAAAUAAUUAUGAAUGAGAAAACUAAA